GCGCCGGUAGUCUAACGGUAGGACUGAAGCUUCCCAUCGCCCUCCGACUCGCGGGCGGGAGAGAGCUUCCAACGCGGGUUCAACUCCCGCCCGGCGCA
rnacentral:tRNA from 1 species